AAACCUUGUCUGCGUCUCUGGGACCUUGAGGUGAAAAUAUUAUCUAAAUUAUAUCUGUUCUUAUCAGUUUAAUAUCUGAUAUGUUCUCUCUGACAACUUUAUAUCAAAUGGGUUUUUGAAAUGGGGAGAUGAACUAGGGGCUUGCUCCAUCCAUUCCAUGCAUCAACUUAGUAUUGCAGUAUCUCUGGGUAUGGUGCACCUCCC
ensembl:snRNA U2 U2 spliceosomal RNA